GUUCAAUUCAGAACUGCAGAUAGUACAGCUUUCACAGGAGCAAGGGAUGCCUGAGCACAAGUGCCUGAGUUCCGAGUGAGUUUAUGAAGCACUUUUAUACAUUCCUCUUGCAUUUAAACGGGGAUUCUGCACCUGCACCAGGGACAGCCUGGCAGAAGCCUCUGCUGUGCCUCCGGGGACAAGGAACUAGAACAAAUAACCAUUUUGAAACUGGAUCUUGGCAAAAUUACCAACAAAUCCAUGAAGGAUAUUGCAGGAAGCUUAAUCUAUUGUCUUCAAUGACAGUUCUACUAAGUUAAAGAAACAUGCCUGGUCUCCAAAGAAGAGUAGAGAGCUUGGUUAAUUGUACCCUAAAACUGGGACAAGAUUAAGUUCUGUAGUUUUAACCAGAACAAAAAAGAUUGCCUUGAAGAAAAGAAGGUAAGCUACUUCCUAAAUUGUGUUGGAAAUUUUUGUGAGUUUUUUUCCCAUUACUAGCAUUGUACUCUUAAAAUGUGGUUUGAAGAAAACUCCUAUCUUCUCAUUUAUGAUUAGUCCCAUAAGAAUUGAAGAGGUGGUGGUAGGGAGGAAAUCUAUUGCAGAUAAACAGCUAGUUCCUAUGAUUUGGGGCUAUCAGUGGAAUUCUAUAGAGAAUGCCUAGUUUGUCUAUGAAGAUAUAAUAUUUAAAAAUACCAACAGAUAUGUUUAUAAAAUCAACCUUUUAAAAUUUUAAUCAUACCUAAAUUGGCUUUCUAGUUUUUCUAGAAAUGUCAAACAAAUCUAAGAAAGAGAUAUUCACUCAGACUAAUCCUUGAAACAUCAUACAGAAAUGUGUGUGGUAAUAUUAUUGGAAAUGUGUAUUCUUGCAAACUAAACAAGUAGAAUGUCUUAGUUCCAAAAAGCCUGCCACGCUGCCUUAAGGUUAACAAAGCAAUUCUUAGACGUAUUUAAUAAAUCAUAAUUUGGUUAACUCUUUAGUUCCAAGUAUAUUUUGGUGCAAAUAUUUAAAAGAUGCCCAUCUAUUCAGUUUAAAAUGAACAUUUUGAUGAAACAGUAACACUUAAGUAUUUCUCAGUUUCCAUAGUCAAAUGUCACUUGUUCAGGGCAUAUGUUUUGGUCCCAAAAUAUCAAGGCUGUAUCUAAGUGAAAAUUUUUUAAUAAGAAUUUUUAACAACAAUUUUGUGGCCCUCUGAAUGUUUAAUUUUGAUUUGUUUUUCAGAGGGUCCAAACUCAGUUAAGCAGUGUCAAAAUCUGCACUGUCUGUAUGAUUGUCAUGAUUUAAAUAAUCUUUGAAAAAUGACAGUACACUAUAAUAUAAUAAAAUCAGACUUAUGGAAAAAUUUCAUUCCAUAGCCAAAAACCUGGGGAGAAAUUACUCCAAAUGAGGGUGAACAUGAUUAUUUUUACCUAAUACUUAGGUAGACUAAUCUCUAACAAUUGGAUUUAAUAUUUGUUGUUUUAAUACUAUUUGACGAGAUCCAUGUGUAAUAGUUUGUAGGUGUUGUGGUGUUGUAUCGUUAAUAAAGAUAUCCAUGAUCAAACAUUGCAGUGAUAAUUAGGCUUCAUGUCAAACUGCCUCUCCUGGAGUCUUUAGGGACAGGAAGUGCAGCUGUGUAUCACCUGCCUACUUUCUACAGAUAGCACAGAAAGAUGUAACUCAAUGAAAUUUCAAAUGAUUGUUCAAAAAUACAUUAUUCACCAUCUUCUAUUUAUAUUUCCAGAUAAAUUAUAUAUGCACAGCAACAUUUGUCCAUUGUUAACUUUGAUGUUAUAAAAUACUAGGAUAAUAACCAUAAAAAACUUUAAGAUGUAAUACUCAAUUUUGGAUAACUUCUUUAACCAAAGAAGCCUAAAACCAACCUUUGGUUAACAAAGAAAAACGUCAUGACAUACCCUUGAGAAAACAUUCUCAGGGUUAUUGUAGAAGUUGCUGAAAGGCAGAUUGGAAGAUAUUUCUUGAUCAAAAAUAUAUUUUCUUUAGAAAUUGACCAUGGGUCAGCAUUUUGUCAACUAAUUUUCAAUUAUAAAGGAAAGUUAAUAAGAUGUGAAAUGUAAAUAAAAAUAAUUGGGAGAGCAGUAAUUAUAUAAAUAGUGUAGUGACUACUUGUUUUUAUAAGAUGCAGUCUUAUUUCAAGUAAGUAACAUACAACGUCUUGUUUUUCAGAAAAAGAAGUUGAUUAACAAAGCUAAGCAUUCAGACAAGGCAAUGUGCCACAUAGAGCAAAAUUCCAGUGCAAAAUAUGAGCUCAUUAAAAGGGAUUCGAUGGUGGGUUGUAAUCAUUAGUCAUAUUUCCUCUGGAAAGUUUUUGAGGGUUAGGGUGGGCUGGAUUUUUGAGUAUAAGAAAAGAGAAUUUCCUUCACAUUCCAGGGUUACACAUUUAUGAUGGAAGGUAAAUGGAUAUCAGUGCAAUUGUAGUAACUAUGGCCAACUUACACAGAAUGGAUAGAACCUUAUUUUUUUCUCUCUAGGCUAGGGUUUCCCAACAGUAGCUCUAUUUACACUUUGAAUCAGUUAAUUCUUUUUCGUUGAAUGACUUUCCUGUGCUUUGUAGGAUUUUUAGUAGCAUCCCUCGUUUCCACCCACUAGGUGACAUCCCUCCUCACCAGGUUGUGAAAAUCAAAAAUGUCUCCAGACACUGCCAGAUGUCCCCUAGAGGCAAAAUCUUCCGUGGUUGAGUACCACUGGUAUAGGCAUUUUUGUUUUCCUCUUUUAUCUCUAUGCAAAAUAAGUUUUGUUGGUUUAUGCAUUAACUGUAAUAGAAAUUUUUCAUAAGGAACUCUUACAUACUAAGAGAUCAGGUCUAUAAUGCAAAUUUUUUAUGCAGGAUUCAAAACUAGGAAUCUAAAUGGUGCAUUCAUCACUUGAAAAAAAUCACUAGGUAAUACAUGAAUUUUAAGGUCUAUUGAAUGUGAGCUCAUAUUGUGUGUCAUAUUUGAGAACCUGCAAUGUAAAUCAAGUAAAUUAAUGCAAAAUGUUUACCUUCCAUUGGAAAUUAAUAGUCUUCUUUUGUUUUAUAGUUAAAUAUAAUAAUAUAUUUUCAGAGAUAACUUUGUAGCAGAGAACAAACUAAGGGCCUAAUAGAAUAAUUCAACAUGAAAUUGAAUGACUAUAGCAGAACGUUUCUGACCCUCAUUAUGCUCUUCUAUAAUUUUAUCCAUGUGUUAAAGCACAACUUUUCUGGGGCUGCACAUAAAAUAUUGAGAAUAAAACAAAAUUCACAGAAAACCUUGGAAGUCAUCAUUAAAAUGGGCUGUUAAUCGUGUCUCUAUAAUACGGAUUAUCAAUUUCUUUUUUAAAACUAACAACAGUAAAAUAGCAGAAAGCCUAUCACCUUGGUAGGACUGUGUGUGUGUGUAUGUCUGUGUGUUUGUGUUGCAGGAAAUAUACGGAUAGGAAAGAAAAAAAUAAUAACCACAUGGAAGUAUAGGAGGCGUGCCAUCAAAAGUGAAAUAUCCAGGAAUUAAGUAAUCUUAAAUUAUAGACAAAGAAAAAAUAUUUUAUAUGGCAUUCAUCCAUUAUUUAUCUAAAAACUGUGAAAGUUGUUAAAUCACUACAUCUUAGCUUAACUUGACUCUAAUCAAAACACUACAUGAAUGAUUCAGAUAUAUUAAAUGAGGAAAGUUUAUAUCAUAUCAGUAUAGAUUUAUAAAUGUCUAAUGAGCAUGUGUGUGUGUGUGUGUGUGUGUGUGUACGUGUGUGUGUGUGGCUUCUCCACUGAACACCUGGGAUGACAGAGCUGAGGCUGUCCUUCCUCGUUAAUGGCUUUCAUGGAUUUUUUCUGAAAUCCUUGAAGGUUAACUACUUCAAAGACCCUCAACUAGACAAUGCAAAAGCAUUAAAAUUUAUAUAUAACAAUAUUUCUUUUUUAUUAUAUAUUUCAGAUUUGGAUUAUUUUAAAUGCUUCAGAUCCAUGAAAGUUAAAAUACCUGGUGUGCUUUUACAGACCCUGAAUUAUACACUAAGAAUAGAUAUAGGUUCAGUUCCAUCCAAACAUUAAAUGUAUUAUAACUGGACUUAUAGCUGUGGAUCUGUAGCGUCAAACUUUACACAUCAAACUUUGGAGAGUUUAUAGCUCCAACUGGUAGUAACUAAAUUAUAAGACAGAUACAUGCUUUGAGUUUUUAUUUUUUCCUUAUGAAGAGGGUAAUGAUUCUUUAUUUCUCUAUGUUGCAUUUUUUUAAAUUACAGUAAAGUAUUCCACUGGUAAUAACUAAUGUAAUGUGCAAUUAAAGAGGAAAGUGGAUAUGAGAAUUUAUCACUGCUACUGAAUUUGAAGAGUAAUAAAAUAUGUUGAAAUUGAAAAGAAAUUACAAUUUCUUUAUGGAUGUACUGUGUCAUUAUUUCUUGCAACUUUGUUACUGAAGAAACAUUUGAUUUCUACAGA